CCAAAGGCCCUUUUAAGGGCCACCAAAUCUUACAAAGAGCAAACUUU
rfam:Orchesella cincta Ocin01_Sc2578, whole genome shotgun sequence.